GGAGAGGUGUCCGAGCGGCUUAAGGAGCACGCCUGGAAAGUGUGUAUAGGUUAAUCGCCUAUCGAGGGUUCGAAUCCCUCCCUCUCCGCCA
rnacentral:tRNA from 1 species